GCCGGGUGUGGUGGUGCAUGCCUGUAAUCCCAGCCGCUCAGGAGGCUGAGGCAGGAGGAUCAAGAGUUCAAAGCAAUUUAGUGAGACCCUGUAUCUA
rnacentral:sRNA from 1 species